rnacentral:rRNA from 1 species
UGACCUCGGAUCAGGUAGGGAUACCCGCUGAACUUAAGCAUAUCAAUAACG